rnacentral:rRNA from 1 species
AACGUAGGGGACAAGCGUUAUCCGGAUUUGCUGGGCGUAAAGCGCCCGUAGGCGGCCUGACAAGUUGGACGUGAAAGCUCCUGGCUUAACUGGGAGAGGCCGUUCAAAACUGUCAAGCUAGAGUCUGGAAGAGGAGAGCGGAAUUCCCGGUGUAGCAGUGAAAUGCGUAGAGAUCGGGAGGAACAUCAGUUGCGAAGGCGGCUCUCUGGACCAGCACUGACACUGAGGCACGAAAGCGUGGGGAGCAAACAGG